UACCUGCUAGCUCGAGUGGUAACCGACUAUUAUUGGGCCUAAAGCGUCCGUAGCCGGUUUGGUAAAUAUCUGGGUAAAUCGUGAGGCUUAACUUCACGAAUUUCGGAUAGACUGCCAGACUUGGGAUCGGGGGAGGUCAGAGGUACUCCAGGGGUAGCGGUGAAAUGUUGUAAUCCUUGGAGGACCACCGGUAGCGAAGGCGUCUGACUAGAACGAGUCCGAACGGUGAGGGACGAAGCCCUGGGGCGCAAAACCGGAUUAGAUACCCGGGUAGUCCAGGGUGUAAACGAGUGUGGGCUUUGUAUUGGAGGUCCCACGUGGGCGUCCAGUGCAGAAGAGAAGUUGUUAAGCCCACCGCCUGGGAAGUACGGUCGCAAGGCUGAAACUUAAAGGAAUUGGCGGGGGAGCACAGCAACGGGAGGAGCGUGCGGUUU
rnacentral:rRNA from 1 species